rnacentral:rRNA from 1 species
CAAUAGCGUAUAUUUAAGUUGUUGCAGUUAAAAAGCUCGUAGCCGACUCUCGGGGCUGUCGCAACGGUCCGCAGAAAUGUGAGCACUGUUGCGGCCGCCUCUUCCUUCUGGACACCAUGUCUUCUCUUGACUGAGCGGAUGUGGGGGCCAGAUCGUUCACUUUGAACAAAUUAGAGUGUUCAAAGCAGGCCUCCGCCUGAAUACUUGAGCAUGGAAUGAUAUCAAUAGGUUCUCCCUUCUCGUUUAUUGGUGAUGAGAAGGAAGAAAAUGAGAAAGGGGAAUGGUUGGGGCCAUUCGUACUGCAGCGUUAGAGGUGAAAUUCUUGGAUCGCUGCAAGACGAACAACAGCGAAAGCAUUUGGCAAGAACGUUUCCACCGG